CUCUAAUUUGUUUCUCAUUCUAUUAGUCUCCCAUACACGAUUGAUGCGAAACUGAUAGAUGCAUGUACAUACAUAUGCGUAUGUCCAGCAUGUCCAUGCCUUGCCUUCAAUUAACAUACCUUGCACGGUUCUGGCUCACUCAAUCUCACAAUCUCAGCCGGUGUAAUGUGACAGCGACGCGUUGCGUUGGCCGCGGCCCCCCCACCCACGCUUCACCCAUUAAACAUAGCAGAGCAACAAAAACAAAAUGAAAUGAAAAACAAGGGAAAAUGUUAAUCAUUCACAAGUCCUUGAAGAAAGUCGCAAUAACAUUAUACUUUCGAUGGUGCCACAACGCAGUUGUUUCUUUGUUUUUCCAAGAAAAUGUCGACGUUCGAGUAAAAAGAAAAUUGCAAUCACCCCACCACAAAUGUACAUCAGUAUGUAUGAAUUAACGUUUCUGUAUGAGCAUCUGUAUGCCUCUUAGUGUGUGUGUCAGCCAUCACAGGGCUCUCAUUGUGAACGUGAACUGGGUGCCACACCACAAGCCAUUGUGGGCCAGCAAAUCCAACGAACG